CCUACGGGAGGCAGCAGUGAGGAAUAUUGGUCAAUGGACGGAAGUCUGAACCAGCCAUGCCGCGUGCAGGAAGACGGCUCUAUGAGUUGUAAACUGCUUUUGUACAAGGGUAUACAUGACUACGUGUAUUCAGCUGACAGUCCUGUACGACUUAGGAUCGGCUAACUCGGUGCGAGAAGCCGCGGUACUACGGAGGAGCCAAGCGUUAUCCGGAUUUAUUGGGGUUAUAGGGUGCGUAGGCGGAUUAAUAAGUUAGUGGUGGAAUGUCCGAGCUUAACUCGGGAACUGCCUCUAAUACUGUUGAUCUAGAGAGUAGGUGCGGUAGGCGGAAUGUAUGGUGUAGCGGUGAAAUGCUUAGAGAUCAUACAGAACACCGAUUGCGAAGGCAGCUUACCAAUCUAUAUCUGACGUUGAGGCACGAAAGCGUGGGGAGCAAACAGGAUUAGAUACCCGAGUAGUC
rnacentral:rRNA from 1 species